GACCCUCAAAUCUGAAGGCUCAAGGUCGUGGGAAAACAUGAAGUGGAGCAUGCCUCUUGUUUCCUCCGAUUAGAUGCUGAGUGUUGGAAGUUCUUCCUAGGAUUCACAAAGAAACUCCUGGUCUUCUUCUACAUACUUUUUCCUGGGAAAGACAACUUGUUUCACUGGCAGAAAAGAUCCCCACUGUUAAAGUGAGGUAAAGAAGAUUCUUGCUUCCUCUUCACGUGUCUGCCAUGACUGUAAGUUUCCUGAGGCUUCUGGAACCAGCCAUGCUGAACUGAUCUUAGAUACAUGAUGGCACUGUUGGCUUCCUGAAGACCUCUUCAUCCUGCAGAAGGUGCAACUCCACAGCGUCCUGAGAGGUUGGACAUAAGGCACAGAACAUAAGCUGGCUUUUCCCGUCCCCUACUCCUCUUGGACAGGAGUCCCUGCUGUCCAAGGAAUAGCAUACUAGGAAAGGGCACCUCCAGGGGCAGAAGCAGUGUGGGGCCAAGAGUCUCACUUGGCAGUCUCAGAGACCCAGAGAGGCCCAGAGUCUCUGGCACCAGACUGCUCGGCGUCACACCCUUGUCCCUGAUGCUCACAGGUCCUGCCCUUUCCAUCUGGAGGCUUGGAAAGAAUGAAUGGUGCCUCACGGUGAAUUACUACAGCCUGAAUCCUGUGACCCCACCUGUAAUGGCCCAAUGUUGUUGAAAUUACUGACUCCAUCCACUUAGCAAGUGGUAAAUACUCUGCAGGCAUAGAUUUGACUAAUGUGUUCUGUUCAGCACCUAUUUCAACAGAUCUCAGCUGCAGGUUGCUUUCACUCCCGAAGGGACGCAAUAGACCGUUAUCUGGCUACCAUGGGGUACCUCGACAGUUCUGCCACCAUACACAAUCUUUGCAGGCAGGAUUUGAACUGCAUCUGAC
rnacentral:antisense_RNA from 1 species